GACGAACGCUGGCGGCGUGCUUAACACAUGCAAGUCGAACGGAAAGGCCCUGCUUUUGUGGGGUGCUCGAGUAGCGAACGGGUGAGUAACACGUGAGUAACCUGCCCUUGACUUUGGGAUAACUUCAGGAAACUGGGGCUAAUACCGGAUAGGAGCUCCUGCUGCAUGGUGGGGGUUGGAAAGUUUCGGCGGUUGGGGAUGGACUCGCGGCUUAUCAGCCUGUUGGUGGGGUAGUGGCUUACCAAGGCUUUGACGGGUAGCCGGCCUGAGAGGGUGACCGGCCACAUUGGGACUGAGAUACGGCCCAGACUCCUACGGGAGGCAGCAGUGGGGAAUAUUGCACAAUGGGCGGAAGCCUGAUGCAGCAACGCCGCGUGCGGGAUGACGGCCUUCGGGUUGUAAACCGCUUUCGCCUGUGACGAAGCGUGAGUGACGGUAAUGGGUAAAGAAGCACCGGCUAACUACGUG
rnacentral:rRNA from 1 species